rnacentral:rRNA from 1 species
UACAGAGGUCUCAAGCGUUGUUCGGAUUCAUUGGGCGUAAAGGGUGCGUAGGCGGCAUGGUAAGUCGGAUGUGAAAUCCCGGGGCUCAACCCUUGGACUGCAUUCGAUACUGCCGUGCUAGAGGACUGGAGAGGAGACUGGAAUUCACGGUGUAGCAGUGAAAUGCGUAGAUAUCGUGAGGAAGACCAGUGGCGAAGGCGGGUCUCUGGACAGUUCCUGACGCUGAGGCACGAAGGCCAGGGGAGCAAACGGG